rnacentral:rRNA from 1 species
UACGAGGGGGGCGAGCGUUGUUCGGAAUUAUUGGGCGUAAAGGGCACGUAGGCGGUGCGGUAAGUCACCUGUGAAACCUCUGGGCUCAACUCAGAGCCUGCAGGCGAAACUGCCGUGCUGGAGUGUGGGAGAGGUGCGUGGAAUUCCCGGUGUAGCGGUGAAAUGCGUAGAUAUCAGGAGGAACACCGAUGGCGAAGGCAGCUCGACUGGGACGGUACUGACGCUGAGGCGACGAAAGCGUGGGGAGCAAACAGG